rnacentral:rRNA from 1 species
AUCGAACGCUGGCGGCAGGCUUAACACAUGCAAGUCGAACGAGUGGCGGACGGGUGAGUAAUGUCUGGGAAACUGCCUGCUUGAGGGGGCUAACUCCUGGAAACGGUCGCUAAUACCGCAUACCCUCAGAUGUGCCCAGAUGGGAUUAGCUUGUUGGUGGGGUAACGGCUCACCAAGGAGACGAUCCCUAGCUGGUCUGAGAGGAUGACCAGCCAGACUGGAACUGAUACACGGUCCAGACUCCUACGGGAGGCAGCAGUGGGGAAUAUUGCACAAUGGGCGCAAGCCUGAUGCAGCCAUGCCGCGUGUGUGAAGAAGGCCUUCGGGUUGUAAAGUACUUUCAGCGGGGAGGCGUUACCCGCAGAAGAAGCACCGGCUAACUCCGUGCCAGCAGCCGCGGUAAUUC